GACGAACGCUAGCUACAGGCUUAACACAUGCAAGUCGAGGGGCAGCAUGGAAGAAGCUUGCUUCUUCUGAUGGCGACCGGCGCACGGGUGCGUAACGCGUAUCAAACCUGCCUCAUACUCGGGGAUAGCCUUGCGAAAGUAAGAUUAAUACCCGAUGUUGUUAUGUUUCCGCAUGGUGAUAUAACCAAAGAUUUAUCGGUAUGAGAUGGUGAUGCGUCCGAUUAGGUAGUAGGCGGGGUAACGGCCCACCUAGCCAUCGAUCGGUAGGGGUUCUGAGAGGAAGGUCCCCCACACUGGAACUGAGACACGGUCCAGACUCCUACGGGAGGCAGCAGUGAGGAAUAUUGGUCAAUGGACGGAAGUCUGAACCAGCCAAGUAGCGUGCAGGAUGACGGCCCUCCGGGUUGUAAACUGCUUUUAGUUGGGAAUAAAAAGAGGGACGUGUCCCUAAUUGUAUGUACCUUCAGAAAAAGGACCGGCUAAUUCCGUGCCAGCAGCCGCGGUAAUACGGAAGGUCCAGGCGUUAUCCGGAUUUAUUGGGUUUAAAGGGAGCGUAGGCGGAUUAUUAAGUCAGUGGUGAAAGACGGUGGCUCAACCAUCGUUAGCCAUUGAAACUGGUAGUCUUGAGUGCAGACAGGGAUGCUGGAACUCGUGGUGUAGCGGUGAAAUGCUUAGAUAUCACGAUGAACUCCGAUCGCGAAGGCAGGUGUCCGGGCUGCAACUGACGCUGAGGCUCGAAAGUGUGGGUAUCAAACAGG
rnacentral:rRNA from 1 species